AAUUAGGACUGCCACUCAAGUGUUUUCUAACAGACAGGAGUGCAGCACAGUUGGGGCUUGAUGCUAACUGCUCCGACAGGUGAAACCUUUCUCCCAGCACCCUAGAUUCAAAUGAACAACAUUUAUCAUGGUGAGUGUUUGUUUUCCAGCCAAGUGACUGUAUCCUGUGAUGGAAUGAUGGCUAAUGGGAUUUUCUGCGAUGAUUUCUCAGUCAAUUAUAGCAGUAGAAGACCUAUGCAGAUGGAUAUGAAAUCAUCCCCAAUGAAAUCAUUCCUGUUUCUAAUUGCAGGAAGAACAAAAAAACAACAAAAAACCCCCAAAACCAUCUAGCCAGGGGUCCUGCACAUGUGAAAGAAGGCUUGAGGAAGAUGAACUGGAAACGUACACAUGCAACCACUGUAGUAUAUAUGGAACCCCCCUCUCCUCAAAUCCAGCUUCUAGGACCGUGCAUGUGGAGGCCUUUUAGAAAAUCAAUAACAAGGCCAGUUACCUUUUAAGGAAGGAGAACA